GCUGGUACCUGGCAACAGGAUGCCAAUCUCUAAAAGCCAUUCACAGUUCGGAUCGGGGUCUGCAACUCGACCCCGUGAAGUUGGAUUCGCUAGUAAUCGCGUAUCAGCAAUGACGCGGUGAAUACGUUCCCGGGCCUUGUACACACCGCCCGUCAAGCCAUGGAAGCUGGAAGUGCCUGAAGUGCGUAACCGCAAGGAGCGUCCUAGGGUAA
rnacentral:rRNA from 1 species